UAAAAUUUUUCAUGUCACCCUGAAGCCCAAGACCGGUUACUCACUGAAGCUAAGCAGGGCUGAGCCUGGUCAGUACCUGGAUGGGAGACCACUAGGGAACACUAGGUUGCUGUUGGAA
rfam:Danio rerio chromosome 22, GRCz11 reference primary assembly.